rnacentral:rRNA from 1 species
GGGUGAGUAACACGUGGGCAACCUGCCUGUAAGACUGGGAUAACUUCGGGAAACCGGAGCUAAUACCGGAUAGUAUUUCCUUUCUCCUGAUUGGAAAUGGAAAGACGGUUUCGGCUGUCACUUACAGAUGGGCCCGCGGUGCAUUAGCUAGUUGGUGGGGUAAUGGCCCACCAAGGCGACGAUGCAUAGCCGACCUGAGAGGGUGAUCGGCCACACUGGGACUGAGACACGGCCCAGACUCCUACGGGAGGCAGCAGUAGGGAAUCUUCCGCAAUGGACGAAAGUCUGACGGAGCAACGCCGCGUGAGCGAUGAAGGCCUUCGGGUCGUAAAGCUCUGUUGUUAGGGAAGAACAAGUACGAGAGUAACUGCUCGUACCUUGACGGUACCUAACCAGAAAGCCCCGGCUAACUACGUGCCAGCAGCCGCGGUAAUACGUAGGGGGCAAGCGUUGUCCGGAAUUAUUGGGCGUAAAGGGCUCGUAGGCGGUUUCUUAAGUCUGAUGUGAAAGCCCACAGCUCAACUGUGGAGGGUCAUUGGAAACUGGGGAACUUGAGUGCAGAAGAGGAGAGUGGAAUUCCACGUGUAGCGGUGAAAUGCGUAGAUAUGUGGAGGAACACCAGUGGCGAAGGCGACUCUCUGGUCUGUAACUGACGCUGAG